GAUGAACGCUAGCUACAGGCUUAACACAUGCAAGUCGAGGGGAAACGGCAUUGAGUGCUUGCACUCUUUGGACGUCGACCGGCGCACGGGUGAGUAACGCGUAUCCAACCUUCCCAUUACUGUGGGAUAACCUGCCGAAAGGCAGACUAAUACCGCAUAGUCUUCGAUGACGGCAUCAGAUUUGAAGUAAAGAUUUAUCGGUAAUGGAUGGGGAUGCGUCUGAUUAGCUUGUUGGCGGGGUAACGGCCCACCAAGGCUACGAUCAGUAGGGGUUCUGAGAGGAAGGUCCCCCACAUUGGAACUGAGACACGGUCCAAACUCCUACGGGAGGCAGCAGUGAGGAAUAUUGGUCAAUGGACGGAAGUCUGAACCAGCCAAGUAGCGUGCAGGAUGACGGCCCUAUGGGUUGUAAACUGCUUUUGUAGGGGGAUAAAGUUAGGGACGUGUCCCUAUUUGCAGGUACCAUACGAAUAAGGACCGGCUAAUUCCGUG
rnacentral:rRNA from 1 species